rnacentral:rRNA from 1 species
GAUCCUGGCUUAGGAUGAACGCUGGCGGCGUGCUUAACACAUGCAAGUCGAACGGAGAUUACAUUUAGUUGCUAGUUGUAAUCUAGUGGCGGACGGGUGAGUAACGCGUGGGUAACCUGCCUUAUCCAGGGGGAUAACAGUGAGAAAUUACUGCUAAUACCGCAUAAGCGCACAGUGUCGCAUGACACAGUGUGAAAAGAUUUAUCGGGAUAAGAUGGACCCGCGUCUGAUUAGCUAGUUGGUGAGGUAACGGCCCACCAAGGCGACGAUCAGUAGCCGGCCUGAGAGGGUGAACGGCCACAUUGGGACUGAGACACGGCCCAAACUCCUACGGGAGGCAGCAGUGGGGAAUAUUGCACAAUGGGGGAAACCCUGAUGCAAGCGACGCCGCGUGAGUGAAGAAGUAUUUCGGUAUGUAAAGCUCUAUCAGCAGGGAAGAAAAUGACGGUACCUGACUAAGAAGCCCCGGCUAACUACGUGCCAGCCGCAGC